UAUUAGCGGUGUGAGCCGCAUCCCGGAAUCUAUAUUUCUUUUCGGAUGAAACACUAUUUGGCUUCGUUUUGCUAGUUAUUUUUUGUGGAAGAAUUUGUUGUGGCAACUGCUGCGGCAGAAUAAUUGGCUUGAUUUGUUUGAUUGGUUGACCUGGCAAGCAAAUGUGUUUUGUCCAUUCGAAACUGGUCCGAGGUGUUUUCCUAUAGCUGCUAAUGCAGUCUCUCUCUCUCUCUCUCUCUCUCUCUUUUUGGGCUAGCACUAUAGGUUUCCUAUAGCUACUUCUACUGUUAAGGUUUUUUUAUUGGGUUUUGAGAACCAAUUUGACCUUUUGUCAGCACCAUAGCAGUGCGGAUCAGGAUUUAUCUAUCUAAUCUCCAUAGCAACAUCAGCCCUCUUGAUUUUUACACAGUUGUUCUGCCUUCUAGUUUUUUCAGCUCGUAACUGUUUCAGCUCAGUGUUGUCAAAGGCGCACUUAAGCCCAUAAGCGAGGCGCAAAGCAUGUUGAGCGCUUCACCUCGCUUAAUGGACCUUAGAGCCUUUUUCCCUUUUUUUGGCUUUUAUAACACUGUUUCAGAUAUAUGUCGUGGCUUUUCAGUUUUUGGAUGUGUCUAUACUAUGUCAAUUUUUUCAUGACAAUACUCAACCUGUUAAAUCUGUCCUCUUGGUUUUGGAACAGUUUGGCCUACUUUCUGGUUUAUUUACUUUAUUCCUCUGUAUCAAAUUCAGUGUUUGAGGUUUCCAGAUUUUGGCUGUAUCUAUGCAAUGCCAUUCUUUUCAAAACAGAUACUCUCCCCAUUCAUCUUUGAACCCGCUUUCACAUGUUGCAGUCUGAUCAUUUAGCAUAUAGCAUGGCAAUUCAUCCUAUCAAUAUUCAGAGAGCAUACUUUCUGAUCCGCGUUGUUAACUGUGCUGUUGUUUAUAUGCAUCAACACUUAUUUUAAACAAGCUGAGUGGUGACCUACGGUCCCUUAAUCCGAAAAAAUGCAUCUCCAAGCUCAUUUGUUUACCUAUAUAUGCUCAAACUUUCUGCCCCUUUUCUUUUUUAAGGUGCAGAAAAAUGUUUACUUGUUUUAGGUUCAUGUUACAAUCAAGUGACAAGCUAUACCUAUCAUUUUGGAGGGGAAAACAUCAAUUUGUCAUUUUUAUUAAGAAUUUUUUCCUUAAAAUUUUUACUAACAUAAUCCUCUAUUGUGCACCUUAUUAAAAAGAUCCUCUGUAAUUCAUUAUAUUUUUCUAAAAAGUGCUAAUAUAUCCCUAUAGUACUAAAUCUAGAACAGGAAAGUGAAUUUUCCCUGUCGAAUUCUUGUAUUCUUUUGGAAACGAUAUUAAUAUGAGAUAUGACGUGUUAGGAGAACUUUGUUAAAAUGGUUCUCAAGGUUAACACAGCUAGCAAACAGUAAUUGUUGUGGUCCUUAUUUUGAAAACUAGUAGGAAGAUCCCUCAAGUGAUAAGCUAGAGGGAGACAGUUAUAACCUGGACUGCUGGAAGAAAGAGAAGCCUAUUUCAUUUAACUUGCUAUGCACCAUUAGAUGCUAAGUUUGUCUAUUAUGAAAACUGAAUGAAGCAUCCAGUGGCAUGUAUAUAGUACUGAUUCAUUUAUCUUCCAGUUCAUGCAAUGUCUCAUGUUUUAUAUAUCAGACUGGGAAUAUUUCUCUGAUGCAUCAGAUGUGGUAUGUAAUGCACUAAAGUUCUCAAUAGAAAAUUAAUAUCAUGUUUCUGCCUUGCAGGGUGCGACAUGGCAGCAACAUCAGCAACUACUUUCUCAGUUGGCUCAGCCACAUCUCUGGGCUGCAAAGGAAGCUCAGUAUCGCAAUCAAAAGCCAUUGGUGUGAAAUUCAACUCCAAAAACAACCUUAGAAGUUUCAGCGGUUUGAAGGCUGCCACAACUGUAAGCUGUGAAUCAGAAUCGUCCUUUUUAGGAAAAGAAAGUGUUGCCGUCCUUAAACAAUCUAUUACUCCAAAGGCUCAAAAAGAAAACAAGGUAUGUGGGAACUGUGUUCAGCCUCAAGCAUCUUACAAAGUAGCCGUUCUUGGAGCGAGCGGCGGUAUAGGCCAGCCCCUGUCUCUUCUGGUCAAGAUGUCACCGUUAGUUUCAGAGCUGAACCUUUAUGAUAUAGCUAAUGUUAAAGGAGUUGCGGCUGAUCUCAGUCACUGCAACACUCCCUCCAAGGUUUCAGAUUUCACUGGAGCUUCUGAAUUGGCCAACUGUUUGAAAGGUGUAAAUGUGGUGGUCAUACCUGCUGGUGUUCCAAGAAAGCCAGGUAUGACACGUGAUGACCUGUUCAACAUUAAUGCAAACAUCGUGAAGACAUUGGUUGAGGCUGUUGCUGAUAAUUGCCCUGAUGCAUUUAUCCACAUCAUUAGCAAUCCAGUCAACUCCACAGUGCCAAUUGCAGCAGAGGUGUUGAAGCGAAAGGGUGUUUAUGAUCCUAAAAAACUUUUUGGUGUUACCACCCUAGAUGUAGUCAGGGCAAAUACAUUUGUCGCUCAGAAGAAAAAUUUGAGGCUUAUUGACGUAGAUGUCCACAUUUGUCUCUCAGAAGAAAAAUUUGAGGCUUAUUGACGUAGAUGUCCCAGUUGUGGGUGGCCAUGCCGGUAUCACCAUUUUGCCUUUGCUAUCAAAGACGAAACCAUCAACUACUUUCACUGAUGAAGAAGUACAGGAGCUAACUGUGAGGAUUCAAAAUGCUGGCACAGAAGUUGUGGAGGCAAAGGCUGGUGCAGGGUCUGCUACACUGGAAACUCAAGGGGAAACUACUUUCACUGAUGAAGAAGUACAGGAGCUAACUGUGAGGAUUCAAAAUGCUGGCACAGAAGUUGUGGAGGCAAAGGCUGGUGCAGGGUCUGCUACACUUUCCAUGGCGUACGCAGCAGCAAGAUUUGUUGAGUCCUCGCUGCGCGCACUUGAUGGAGAUAGUGAUGUGUAUGAGUGUGCUUUUGUCCAGUCUGACCUAACAGAGCUUCCAUUCUUUGCUUCAAGGAUUAAACUAGGAAAAAACGGGGUUGAGGCUUUGAUUCCAUCUGACCUUCAAGGUUUGACUGAGUAUGAACAGAAAGCUCUGGAUGCUUUAAAGCCAGAACUGAAAGCUAGCAUCGAGAAGGGUAUAGGUUUCGUUAUGAAGGAACCUGUAGCCGCUUAGAAUAUAUUACAGCUGAAGAAAUGAUGACAGGAAUAAAGUAAUUUAGCGGAAUUCAUGUAUGAGCAAUUCCAGUUUUGCAGGUGAGCUGAAAAGUGCUUCUGUGACCGAGAAAAAAAACAGUAGUAUUGUAAAAUUGUUUCCUCUGCGGUAUGUAACUCUAAUUGACGUCGUUGAGGCACUCUUGUCAUGUUCUUUCUUUCUCGUUAAACCAAGUCUUUUAUCUCUCUAUAAUCUGAGCGUGUCGUUGAGCUGGCUGUGUGAUGAAAUGCGGGAAUUCUAAAUUUAUUUAUGCUAAAAAUUUAGGAAUACAGUUAUUCACUUGCUUCCACAAAUUUUAGCUUGUUAUGGUAAAUCUUAUCACCGAGCACCUUCUCAAUGUUUGUCCUUGUAGUGGUUGUUUGGUACACGGAUAAUAAUUUCAGGAAAGAAUUUGAGAUUGUAUUUAUCCUAUGUUUGGUUAUAGGUAUUAGCUAAUUUUGAGAUAAAUUUUACACUAAAAUGGUGGAAUUAGUUAUUCUAAAUAGAAGGUGGGACGGGUAAUCCCACCAUUGAGGUCAAAUUUUUUUCUUUUGUGGAAAAUGUAAUUGUUUGGCAGUGCGGAGCAUUUGAUUGAUUCAGUUGUUUACUUCUUCAAGAUAAUCAUGUUGUUAGACAUAUUUAACAAUAUAUAAAUUUCGCUAAAUAGAAAGCCAAUUCUCUCAAAACCUCAUAAAAUAAAUCCCGCCAACACAAGCAAUAAUUAGAUAAAGAUAAAGGGGAUGAGGAUGAUCCUAAACUUCAAGUGAACGGCAGGUUCACAUGGAUGCAAAUUCUCCACCCUUGAGCUCCGGAUGCAUAACAUUCUUAUACCAGUGUAAUCCCAUAAGUGAGGUCCCAUAAGCGAGGUCAGAAUGCAUAACAUUCUUGAGUUCGGUUAAAUCAUAUCAGAAUUUUCAGUUCACUCAUUAUUCUGCGACGCUUUCCAACCUUCUUGGUGAUGUAUCCGAACAGACAUUCACUUUUCGUUUCUUAGGUUUCACCUUCAUCAAGAACCAUUUGAUCGAUAGUUUUGACUUUGAUAAGAAAUUAAGAAUGCCUUUGAGAUUCAAUCAUAAAUUACUUUGCCUCGGUUCUAUGUGACAGUCCUCCUUCACUCCCCACCCCUUAAAGUAUGUUUUAACUCAAAUAUUUGACAGGGAAUCUGGGAUCAAAGUUUACUUACACUCUUCUAGCUUCUUCUAUUAUGAUUUUCACAACUUUUGAAAUUAUGUCAGAAAAACUAUUGUGGGAUUUCGACUCCUUCACUCUUCUGCUCUGAUUUUCUUGACUUGUGAAAUUAUAAAUAAAUAAAUCGCGGGGCAAAAAUAAUGCUCUCAGCCAGUAAAGGAGGGUAUGCUGCUGCUUCUUUUAGGAAAAAAAAGAAAUUGUCAUCGGUUUAAAGGAGUAAUGGAUUUCAGCUUUUCAACAUAAGCUACUACUUCUAGAAAUACAAGGGAACUCCAGUGUCAAUAAGAAUAAAGACAUAAGAUUUGGCGCGGUGUGGUUGCCUUUGUGGGAUUUUGGUUACAUAAUUUCUUCUCAAGUGAAAAUCAUUCAUUUGAUUGCAGUCACUUUCUUCCUUUAGGCAAAUUCAACAAUUCCAAUGCCUCCAUCCCCCCCCCCCCCCCCCCUUAGUAAUAGCAAAAUCCAACUCCAUCCUGUUAAUUGACAUAAAUUCUUAGAUUCUUCUCUGUGCCAAUGAGUCUAUUUGAAUCUAGCUUCAAGCUGUAUUCAGCAACAAUGGGAUUCUUUCUUUCCUGCACGACCAGAAUUUUCCUGAUGCAUGAUUAAUGCGAGUCUGAUAUUAUCGGGUGUUCUAUCCAAUAACACAUUCAACACCAUUCUCAUCAUCAUUCAAUAGAUCAUCUUUAUAAAGCCCUACUUUCAUUCUGCUCCAUAAUUUACUGGAGGAACAUUUUGCAAUUACCAAUAGUCAUUGCAAGAACAUCGUCCUUCUCUGAAAUGAUGGAAGCGGUUACGAUCUCUAAUAACAACUUCCCUAUUAUAGACUGCUGACAACAUCUUGGCAAAAUUAUGGCAGUCAACACAAAUUCGGAGGUCUUUUGCAAGUCUUAUUGACGUGCCGGGUGGAGUUGAUAGAACCCCAAAAGCAUCAACACAAAUUCGGAGGUCUUUUGCAACUCUUAUUGACGUGCCGGGUGGAGUUGAUAGAACCCCAAAAGCAAUAGCAAAUUUCUCACUGUGAUAAGAUAAUGCAAUCUGCUUCUCUUCCUCACCCACAUUGUGCAACUCUGACAUUGGCUCAGCAACGUAUCCUGCUAUCCUCAGUUGCUGAUUGAUCUCGUCCAACAUCUCAUAAAUCUUAGUCUUUCUUGGAUGGGAAAAGUCAUUUGCAGCGAAUUCAUGUAUUUCCCCCUUGAACUCAAUGGUACUACAAGCAGGGGUAGUUUGGAUUCCCCUCUCUUUCAUUAUUUUUCUCACGUUUAUUACGUUAUCCCAAUCACCAAGCGAUGAAUAAAUAUUCAACAGCAGUACAUAACGAAUUCAUGUAUUUCCCCCUUGAACUCUAUGGUACUACAAGCAGGGUUGGUUUGGAUUCCCCUCUCUUUCAUUAUUUUUCUCACGUUUAUUACCUUAUCCCAAUCACCAAGCGAUGAAUAAAUAUUCAACAGCAGUACAUAAUCUCCGGCUUCUUGUGCUUUAAGUUCAAUCAAAUGCUCAAUGACUUGUUCUCCAAGAUCAGCUUGGCGGUGAAUUCUACAAGCUCCUAGUAGAGUCCUCCAUAUUGUUGCAUCAGGUUUGACCUUCAUUGAACUUAUAAGGUUGUAAGCUUCUUCAACUAAGCCAACACGACCCAUUAGAUCAACCACACACCCAUAGUGAUGAAUGUUUGGAGGAAUCCCAAACUCUUCGCUCAUACGAUUAAAAAACAUCCUACCCUCAUCAAGUAGUCCGGAGUGACUGCAAGCAUUAAGAACCCCAGUGAAAGUCUGAUCAUCAGGGGAAACACCCGAUCUUUGCAUCUCCGAAAAUGCCUCAACUGCAUCUCUGCCAUAACCAUUUCUUGCCAACCCCGAUAUCAUUGCACUCCAAGACACCACAUCUUUCUUGGCAAUUCCCUUAAACACCUCAAAGGCCUUUUCAAUGCAACCACACCGGGAAUACAUAGUUAUAAGUGCAUUACAAAUAUUCAUUGCCUUGUCAAAGCCAUACUCUUCACAAUAUCUAUGAACUCCCUCACCAUAGGCCAACGCAUUCAAAUUUGCACAAGCCUGAAGUAACAACAAACAAGUAACCUCAUCUGGUUGACACUCAGACGAGCUCCGUAUCAUAUCAAAUACGUGCAAAGCAUCCCGAGUGCGUCGGUUACGCAAAUAGCAAGAAAUCAACACGUUCCAAGCUACUGUGUCUCUAUGAGACAUUUCAUCAAACACUUUGCAUGCUUUGCUGUACUUCUCAUUAGAUGAAUAAAAAUCCAUCAAUGUGGUCAGCAGGCGUCCAUCGGAUUGAUGCCCGCCUUUCAAAAUUCGAGCAUGAAUCUGUAGCCCACCAAACAAAGACCCAAUCUUUGUACAACAAUUCGUAACGAAUGAAGACGUUAGCGAAUUCGGCGAAACACCUGACCUUAACAUUUCUUGAUAUAACUGAAAACCAUUUAUGGGUGAAUCACUCAUUGCAUAAGCUCUUAUCAUGAUGUUGUACAUGAAAACAGUGGGUUUUUCAUAUUUUAAAAAUAUCCGAAAAGCAUAAGUUAAAUCAUGGAAUGGCGGGAGAGCAACACGAAAUAAGAAAGCUGAGAAAAAAAAUGGACCUUGAAAGAGAGUUUUGCGAAUGAGGUGAGCAUGGAUUUGUAGCAAAUGGGAAUUUUCAGAAGAUGACUUGAUUAACGAAAUCAAACCUUCGGGUUUCUCUGUAUGCAAGUGAAUAGGAGAAUUUGUGGAUGCGGGAUGAAUGCAUUGCGGGUGGUGGUGGUGGUGGUCUACACGCGCCGCCGCAAGAGAAGAGAGAAAGCGGAAGGUGGAUAUAUAAAGACGGCGAUAAGAGAUUUCCCUCAUUCUCUAAUUUGUCUAACGUUUUCACGUCGGAAAUUGGAAAAUACAGCAAAGAUUAUUCUGGGGAUCCAUGGACAUAGCUCAAACCAGAGAGGAGUCUGUUUUUGUUACCAUGGCGGAAUUUUUUUGAAUUGCUGUAACUUUAAAUUUUUUUUUACCACAUUAACCAAAUUUACUAUAGUGCUUAUAUCUCGACUCUAAUCUAUAAGUUGGGAGUUGAAGUAAAAUAAUUGAGGAACAAAUUAUUACCUCAACUCUAAUCUGUAUCAGUAAUAUCUUCAGUUGAGCUAGUUAUUAUUUUCAGAGGUCAAUGAGAUGUAUCUCUUUCAUUUUGCUACUGUGACAUAUAUUUAAAAAAUAUUCUUACAUUAGAAUAAUUAGGCUCCUACUUUUAAAUUCUAUAGUUCAUAUUUAAAUUUACAAUUAAUUAUUUCAAAAAUAAUAGGCUAAGAUUCAACAACCAACUCCAAUAGUUUCUCAAAUUUACUAUUUAACUUAUAAAAAAAGAUUCCUCGGGUUUUUAAAUUAAUUUUCAAAUCAACAACUGUGACUCAAAUAUUAAUUCAACAAACUAAAUUCAUUUGGGUAGUGAAAAUUAAAUUUUUAACAAGCUUAAAUAUGUGGGUUUAAAUUUCGAAUUUAAUUUUGUGAGAAAUUUGAUGUGAGUGUUAUUUCGACUUGUUAGAAAUAGUACAAAGAGGUUGUAUAUAUAAUUUGAAGUCAUUUAAUGGAGAUUUGGAGCGGUUUUGAACAAGAAUUGCAACUGAAAAUCGUGGAAGAAGUUCGUCUACACACGCUUGUAUAAAGUUAUAUAAAAGUGUAUAAUAGUGUAUAAAGUGUGUUUCUAUACUCAUAUACACUAGUAUUAUACAAGAUUAUACAUAAAUUAUACAAAAAUCUGACUUCGUCUUCUUCCUUGCGUCUUUUUUGAAAUUUAACUCAAUUGUUGCCCAAAUUUACUCCAAAUCACUUCAAAUUUAAAAUUUGAAAUCCUUUCGAUAUUUUCAAUCAAUUGGAACAAUACCCAAUCCAAACAACUAACAAAUUAAAAAAAACAUUCUUUAAAGCAAAGCUUUGAAGUCUUUAAUAGUGGACUUCUACACUUUAAUUUUCUUACAUUGCAAGCAGGUGACACAAGAGGAGAAACAGAAAAUAUAUGGCCCCUUGAAGUAUAUGUAGAACACGUGAGAAUAAGAGAGAGUGAAAGCAAUGGGUGUAAGAGCAAAGAAUUAACUCCAUAGCUUUUACAAGCAAUGGUUGUAAGAACACAUUUUUUGAUUUGCAAGUGCUUACAAAAUAUGUACAAUGUGGGUUAGGUGGGGUAAAACUAAAAAGCAUGGGCCAUUUUUAUUAUGAUGUAAAAUCAUGUGUAUUUUCUUGUAAUUCUUUCUUACAAGAAUGGGGACCGAAUACAACAACAAUGUUCGCGUCUUAUAGCAUGUUUGGCCAAGCAUCUUUUUGGCCAAAAGUAUUAUUUUUUUUUUGACAAAAGCACUUUUGGCCAAAACUUGAGAUGUUUGGCCAAACUUUUGGGAGGGAACAAGUAUUUUUAAGGAGAAGUAAAAGCAGUUUGGAGAAGCAGAAAAAAAAUAAUUUUUUUCCAAAAGUACUUUUUUGAAAAAAAAUAUACUUAGAAAUAAUCUAAGUAUAAUAACUUAAAUUUUUUCCUCUAAUUAAUAUAAUCAAAAUAGAUUUCUGUCAAUCUUAUUUGCGUUUUAACUGAAUUAUUUCUUUAUUCAUUGGUUAGUUGCGUAACUAUAUAUAAUAAUCUAAUUUAUCAUUUAGUUUCUCACAUAAAUUAUAAUUCAUCCGUCCCCAUUAAUAUGAAGGCGUUUGACAAGAGGGAUUGCUCUGAUGGUAAACAACCUUCACUUCCAACUAAAAGGUUGUGAGUUCGAGUCUCCCCAAGAGCAAGGUGAGAAGUUAUUGGAGGGAAGAAUGCCGAGGAUAUAUUUGGAAACAACCUCUCUAUCUCAGGGUAGGAGUAAGGUCUGCGUACACACUACCCUCCCCAAACUCUACUAAGUGUAAUUAUAAUGAGUUAUUGUUGUUGUUGUUGUCGUUGUCGUUGUCGUUUGACUAGACAUGAAGUUUAUGAAAUAUAGGAAGAGUUUUGAAACUUGCGAUCUAAAAUAAACCAUAGAACUUGUGUAGCUAGAAAUCAUCUCAUUAAGAGUAAAAAGAAAAAUUUAAAGGUGAAUUAUUACCAAGUAUUAAAAAACGGCUGAUUAAAAAAAAGGUGUUACAUAAGUUGGGGUGGAGGACGAGAAUAAAAACAAGGUUAUAUAUAUAUAUAUAUACUAGAUGGGAAUAGCCCGUGCUUAAGCACGACCCCAACCGUUCUGGUUAUAAUAUUUUUAAAAUUGUUUUGGCGUAAAUAAUGCCUGUCAUACUAUUUUAGUCCGAUAUGACGACAAAAUCACAUUUAUUAUGUAUGUAAACUUUUUGCAUUAGAUGAUAAAAUUCGUGCUUAGAAGAGUCCUGGAUCUGCAGGUACAAUUGCAUAAGCUGACAUAAAUAUGUGAUUAACUGCUAGCUGGCGGCUGCCAUGCAUGUAUCAAAAUGAUUGAUGUAAGAGCAGUUCUUUAAUUCCUCUCACACUGGCCAAUAAUACAACAACAACCCAGUAUAAUCUUAUUUAGUGGAUUUUGGAAAGGGUGAUAUGUACGCAGAAGAUAACUCCUAAAAAUAAGUCACAAUAAUUUUUAUUGAUUUUAGGAAUUUUCUUUUUUUUUUUAGUCACAUUUCAUGCAUUUUUAACAUUUUAAAAUUAAAAUAAUAAAUACCAAAAAUACUUGGCAUUUGCGUUUAGAAUUUAAUUUUACAUUUUAGGAUUAAUUAGUAGUUGAGUUACUUUUAGGAAAAGAAAAAUAACAAAAAUUGUCCUUGUUGCAUUUUUAAUUUUAUUUUGUUUAGUUUGCAUUUAAAUAGGGAGUUUGUGUAAUUGAAAAUUUGAAAGUAUAAUUUUAGAGUCAAUUUGAGUUUAGAUUUUUAAUUUAGCAUUUAAUAAAAUCAAAAAAUAAAAUAUAAAAUAAGUAAAUGAAAUAAAAAAAAGGAAGAUAAAAGAAAUAGGAAGAUAAAAAGAAAUUGGGAAGAACCUUCCCCAAAAUAUUUCUCCCCAAAAAACACUCCUCACGUAACACCUUCCUCAAAUACAACUUCCCACAUAACACUCCAGCCCACACACUUUAUAAAAUCAUUCUCUGCCCAAUGGAAAAAAGGGGGAGGACAACUACAAAACACAUUUCUCUCACGAUGCUUCUUCUUCACCGCCUGCAUCUCUCCCCUCCAAACGACUGGCCAUCAGCAUAACCAGCGUCUUCAUCAUCUCCAAAACAAGCAGCGCUGCCAUCUUCAAAGCAUCAACCAAACGACCCUUGAACCAAACGACCAGGUCAGCCCAUCACUGCUGCCUCCUCGUCCGCCAUUGACGUCUCCCUCACGUCCAGCAGCAACCUCACGUCCAGCAGUUAUGUUUCUUUAUCAACAAAAAUACGACCAUAUGAUUUUGAUUUUCAGUUCUAUCAUGGAUUCAAUUUAAACUUUAAAGUUUUGCUCUUCUGGUUUUUAUGGAAAUCAAUUCAGUUCCGGUUGUGAAGCUUUGUUUGAGUUUGCGACUCGGCGGUUGUUGAAGUUUGUCGCGGUUCUGGCGAGCUCUGAGGUCCCGGUGCAGCUCCGAUUGUCGACUUCCUGUUGAUUGUGAGAAUCAGAUCCGAUUUGUUAGUAGAAUUAUUGAGGUUUGUUUCCUUGUUUCAUUUGGCUUUAGUUAAUUCAUGAAUCUUAGGACUUAUUUUUGGAGGAAUAAAUUUGAGCUUGAAUGAUUGGUAUUUUGAGUGUUCUUUCAUUUGGAUUAUUAACUACCACCUCAUUAUCUCAUUCUGAUUAACAAUCAGUUGUGUCAAAUUA
rnacentral:lncRNA from 1 species